AAGAAUUUAAAUAACUAACCAAAAAAUAGCAAAUAGAAGAAAUUCAAUAUUAUUUAUCUUAAGAAUUAUUUUUCUUUUCGAAAUUAAGAUCAUGGUUGAGAGAAUUGGACCUGAUGAAAAUUUAAAUUCAAAAUCUGUCAGUGAAAUAGGCUGGGUCGGGUGAUACAUCAAAACCCCAUUAUCGUGUUAUGUUGUGUAAACUCAAAGCGACUGGCCAAAC
rnacentral:lncRNA from 1 species